rnacentral:rRNA from 1 species
AUGGCGGCGGUGGAUCUGUCGAAGCUGCUCAAGGAGAAGCGGUUCUGGGCAGCCUCCUUCCUCAUCGCGUGGGCUGCCGCGCUCCAGGGGCACAUGAUGUGGGUGCAGCGGCAGGACGCCUUCAAGCACAAGUUCGGCGACCCCGAAGCCCCCAACAAGGUCACCGAGCAGGGGCAGUCGCCGGCCGACGACAGCCGAGGCGGCGAGCCGGAUAAGGCCACCGCCGACGCAGAGUUCAGAUAG